GACGUAGGAUGCAAGCGUUGUCCGGAAUUAUUGGGCGUAAAGCGUUCGUAGGCGGCCUGUCAAGUCUGAUGUUAAAGCCCGGAACUCAACUCCGGUUCAGCAUUGGAUACUGACAAGCUAGAGUGCAGAAGAGGCAAGGGGAAUUCCUAGUGUAGCGGUGAAAUGCGUAGAUAUUAGGAGGAACACCGGUGGCGAAAGCGCCUUGCUGGGCUGUAACUGACGCUUAGGGACGAAAGCCAGGGGAG
rnacentral:rRNA from 1 species